GAGCAAAGUGAAAAUGCUCACGAGUUUAAUCACUUCCAUACCGCACCGGGGGUUAGUAUGAAGGUGAGCAAAAUAGGGCCGAUGCCGUCGGGACCGACAAAAUCACCAAAUUUGCUCACUAGAAAGGGGCGAGAGCAAACAUGCACUGAAAAAAUUCUACCGUUUUGAGCAGAAUUAAACAAACGAUGUCGCAGCGUGUAGAUGUUUGUUGAUAUUUAUUUUAAGAAAAAAAUUGUAUCAGCUUAAAAUUGUGGAUGGUUUUUUUUGUAAUAACUGCAGUUAAAUUCGCAAUUUCGUUACAUUUUUUCGGGGUUUUCCAGGAAUUGAACGAGAAAGUGUAAAUGCUGGUUCUGAUGAUAAACAAACUUGAAGCAUCGUAAUUUGUGACCAAAAAUGGUCACUCGGAGUUUCUCGGAGUAAUAAUAAUCGAGACCAGUGCGCUGUGCAGGAUUUUUGUAUCCAACCGGCCGAUAUGGGUGGCAUUCCAGUACUGUCCCUACCGAUUCGGCUUUCGGAACGAGGUCCAAUAAGUUUGCAACUAAUGGGACCCAGUUUUUCGGAGCAGCAAUUAUUUCAAUCAGCACGUUGGAUAGAAAAAGAAGUUGAAGAUUUUUUAGAAAAGUAUGAUUUUAAUAUAAAUAUAAUAAACAAAUAAAGUUGAAUUUUAGUUGAAUUGUUUGGUUUGUUAAAUUUUGUUUUUCGGGUCCAUUUGUUAGGAAAUAUAAGUGCCCGGCGUUUUGAAAGCAAAAUCGAGCUUAAUUCGAAAAUAUAUUCUUAUCUGAACUUAUUUUAUUCAA